rnacentral:tRNA from 1 species
GAUGAUUAGCUCAGCGGUAGAGCACUUCGUUGACAUCGAAGGGGUCACUGGUUCGAUCCCAGUAUCGUCCACCAUAAC